UACGUAGGGGGCAAGCGUUGUCCGGAUUUAUUGGGCGUAAAGAGCUCGUAGGUGGUUCGGUAAGUCGGAUGUGAAAUCUCCAGGCUCAACCUGGAGGGGUCAUUCGAUACUGCCGUGACUAGAGGUCGGUAGGGGAGUGUGGAAUUCCUGGUGGAGCGGUGAAAUGCGCAGAUAUCGGGAGGAACACCAAUUGCGAAGGCAGCUCGCUGGGACGUUACUGACGCUGAGACGCGAAAGCGUGGGGAGCAAACAGG
rnacentral:rRNA from 1 species